UACGAAGGGGGCUAGCGUUGCUCGGAAUCACUGGGCGUAAAGCGCACGUAGGCGGAUUGUUAAGUCAGGGGUGAAAUCCUGGAGCUCAACUCCAGAACUGCCUUUGAUACUGGCGAUCUCGAGUCCGGGAGAGGUGAGUGGAACUGCGAGUGUAGAGGUGAAAUUCGUAGAUAUUCGCAAGAACACCAGUGGCGAAGGCGGCUCACUGGCCCGGUACUGACGCUGAGGUGCGAAAGCGUGGGAGCAAACAGGG
rnacentral:rRNA from 1 species